rnacentral:rRNA from 1 species
GCGAACGGGUGAGUAACACGUGAGUAACCUGCCCUUGACUCUGGGAUAAGCCUGGGAAACUGGGUCUAAUACCGGAUACGACCGCUCCACGCAUGUGGUGGUGGUGGAAAGCUUUUGCGGUUUUGGAUGGACUCGCGGCCUAUCAGCUUGUUGGUGGGGUAAUGGCCUACCAAGGCGACGACGGGUAGCCGGCCUGAGAGGGUGACCGGCCACACUGGGACUGAGACACGGCCCAGACUCCUACGGGAGGCAGCAGUGGGGAAUAUUGCACAAUGGGCGGAAGCCUGAUGCAGCGACGCCGCGUGAGGGAUGACGGCCUUCGGGUUGUAAACCUCUUUCAGUAGGGAAGAAGCGUAAGUGACGGUACCUGCAGAAGAAGCGCCGGCUAACUACGUGCCAGCAGCCGCGGUAAUACGUAGGGCGCAAGCGUUAUCCGGAAUUAUUGGGCGUAAAGAGCUCGUAGGCGGUUUGUCGCGUCUGCUGUGAAAGACCGGGGCUCAACUCCGGUUCUGCAGUGGGUACGGGCAGACUAGAGUGAUGUAGGGGAGACUGGAAUUCCUGGUGUAGCGGUGAAAUGCGCAGAUAUCAGGAGGAACACCGAUGGCGAAGGCAGGUCUCUGGGCAUUAACUGACGCUGAGGAGCGAAAGCAUGGGGAGCGAACAGGAUUAGAUACCCUGGUAGUCCAUGCCGUAAACGUUGGGCACUAGGUGUGGGGGACAUUCCACGUUUUCCGCGCCGUAGCUAACGCAUUAAGUGC